rnacentral:rRNA from 1 species
UACAGAGGGGGCGAGCGUUGUUCGGAAUUACUGGGCGUAAAGGGCGCGUAGGCGGCUUGCUAAGUCGGACGUGAAAUCCCUCGGCUCAACCGGGGAACUGCGUCUGAUACUGGAUGGCUUGAAUCCGGGAGAGGGAUGCAGAAUUCCAGGUGUAGCGGUGAAAUGCGUAGAUAUCUGGAGGAAUACCGGUGGCGAAGGCGGCAUCCUGGACCGGCAUUGACGCUGAUGAGCGAAAGCUAGGGGAGCAAACGGG